rnacentral:rRNA from 1 species
UUUAAAAAAAUACGCCGUCUGGGAGCUUUACUAGGACUCACUAGAAAAACACCUAAAUCCGGAAGUAAUCUUAAAAAAUUCAAUUCUGGGAAAAAGGAGCAAUAUCGUAUUCGUCUUCAAGAAAAACAGAAAUUGCGUUUUCAUUAUGGUCUGACAGAACGACAAUUACUUAGAUAUGUACAUAUCGCUGGAAAAGCAAAAAGGUCAACAGGCCAGGUUUUACUAAAAUUACUUGAAAUGCGUUUGGAUAAUAUCCUUUCUCGAUUGGGUAUGGCUUCAACCAUUCCUGGGGCCCGCCAAUUAGUCAACCAUAGACAUAUUUUAGUUAAUGGUCGUAUAGUCAAUAUACCAAGUUUUCGUUGCAAACCCAGAGAUAUUAUUACUACGAAAGAUAACCAAAGAUCAAAAGGUCUGGUUCAAAAUUAUAUUGCUUCAUCGGACCCGGGGAAAUUGCCAAAGCAUUUGGCGAUUGACACGUUGGAAUAUAAAGGACUAGUAAAUAAAGUCCUAGAUAGGAAGUGGGUCGGUCUCAAAAUAAAUGAGUUGUUAGUUGUAGAAUAUUACUCUCGUCAGACUUGA